AACGGCGGCAGUAUUGCAGAUCGUUGUGUCCCACAUAUUAGGAGAUGCUGGCAGCCCGUAUGUAAUCGGAGUGAUUUCAGAUCUAAUACGCAAAGGAAAGCCAGAUUCAGACCUCUUGCGGCUUAAUAGCUUAGGCUCUGCUCUGAUUAUUUGUGCCUUUGUGGGAGUCAUCGGAGGGGGAUUUUUCCUCGCAACCACGCUCUACAUAGAGAAAGAUCGGAAGAAGGCGGAAAGUUACUACCAAGUUGAAGAUUAAGAUGAUGAGGUUUGAAAAGAGGCCUGGACAUCCUUUACAAAAUGUAACGAAUACGGAGUUAUCCUAAGAUGGCCAUUGCUGGAAAUUCACCUAAUUGGUUAUUCUACGGAACUGAAGGACUGUAUUGG